rnacentral:rRNA from 1 species
AACGAACGCUGGCAGCAUGCCUAACACAUGCAAGUCGAACGAGACCUUCGGGUCUAGUGGCGCACGGGUGCGUAACGCGUGGGAACCUGCCCUUAGGUUCGGAAUAACUCCCCGAAAGGGGUGCUAAUACCGGAUAAUGUCUUCGGACCAAAGAUUUAUCGCCUUUGGAUGGGCCCGCGUUGGAUUAGCUAGUUGGUAGGGUAAAAGCCUACCAAGGCGACGAUCCAUAGCUGGUCUGAGAGGAUGAUCAGCCACACUGGGACUGAGACACGGCCCAGACUCCUACGGGAGGCAGCAGUGGGGAAUAUUGGACAAUGGGCGAAAGCCUGAUCCAGCAAUGCCGCGGGAGUGAUGAAGGCCUUAGGGUUGUAAAGCUCUUUUACCCGGGAUGAUAAUGACAGUACCGGGAGAAUAAGCUCCGGCUAACUCCGU